rfam:Dipodomys ordii contig_37897, whole genome shotgun sequence.
GGUGGCUCAAUGGUAGAGCGCUUGCCUUGCAUGCAUGAGGCCCUGGGCUUGAUUCCCCAGCACCA